AUUACAUAUCUGAAUCACGAGGCAUUUAGGACGGGAAUGAAAAGAAGAUCGGGGGAGGUGUUUUAAAAACCAGGUUCUCCUCUUAGCUUGACCAUUCAGGAGCUGAGGGACCUGGGCAAGUCCCUCCACCUCUCUGGGCCUCUGCAUGUAAAGGGGCGUUUGGGCUAAAUGAUUUGUAAACCUCUGUUCUUCCAAGAUUCUCCCCUCUCAGGGAACUGAAAAGAUGAGAGUGUUUCUGUUUAACAGCACUACAAAAAGCCUAAUUGUGACAACAAGCGCCUCUACCCUAGUGAGGAGGAAAGAUUUUUCAGAGCUUCAGCAAUCUGAUUUUUUUUUAAAGAUAAAACUGAUUUUCUCGAUCGACUCUCUUCAGUCUAACCCAAUAAAUACGCAUUGCAAUCAUUUUAAUUUUUGUAAGAUCUUGAUGGGGAAAACAGAGGGAAAGAACACCUAAAACACGAGAUUAUUCCACAACCAAGGACGAAAGAGAAAUAGCUUUGACUGAGGGCUUGCGCUUGCUAGACACUGCGCCUAAUAUGUACAUGGUCACCUUAAGUGUCACCUCAGCCUUCUGAGAUAAG
rnacentral:lncRNA from 1 species